CCUACGGGCGGCAGCAGUCGAGAAUUAUUCACAAUGGGGGAAACCCUGAUGGUGCGACGCCGCGUGGGGGAAUGAAGGUCUUCGGAUUGUAAACCCCUUUCAUGUGGGAGCAAAUUAAAAAGAUAGUACCACAAGAGGAAUAGACGGCUAACUCUGUGCCAGCAGCCGCGGUAAUACAGAGGUCUCAAGCGUUGUUCGGAAUCACUGGGCGUAAGGCGUGCGUAGGCUGUUUCGUAAGUCGUGUGUGAAAGGCGCGGGCUCAACCCGCGGACGGCCGAUGAUACUGCGAGACUAGAGUAAUGGAGGGGGAACCGGAAUUCUCGGUGUAGCAGUGAAAUGCGUAGAUAUCGAGAGGAACACUCGUGGCGAAGGCGGGUUCCUGGACAUUAACUGACGCUGAGGCACGAAGGCCAGGGGAGCGAAAGGGAUUAGAUACCCGGGUAGUC
rnacentral:rRNA from 1 species